CCUACGGGAGGCAGCAGUGAGGAAUAUUGGUCAAUGGGCGCGAGCCUGAUCCAGCCAAGUCGCGUGAGGGAAGACGGUCCUAUGGACUGUAAACCUCUUUUGCCGGGGAGCAAAAGACGCCACGCGUGCCGUUCCGAGAGUCCCCGAAGAAAAAGCAUCGGCUAACUCCGUGCCAGCAGCCGCGGUAAUACGGAGGAUGCGAGCGUUAUCCGGAUUUAUUGGGUUAAAAGGGUGCGCAGGCGGAAGCUCAAGUCAGAGGGAAAAUUGAGAGGCUCAACCUCUUAGAGCCGUUGAAACUGGUUGGCUUGAGUGAGUGAGAGGUAUGCGGAAUGCGUGGUGUAGCGGUGAAAUGCAUAGAUAUUACGAAGAACUCCGGUGGCGAAGGCGGCAUACCGGCGCUUAACUGACGCUGAUGCACGAAGGUGUGGGUAGCGAACAGGAUUAGAUACCCUGGUAGUC
rnacentral:rRNA from 1 species